GACGAACGCUGGCGGCGUGCUUAACACAUGCAAGUCGAACGGAAAGGCCCUGCCUUUCUGGGGUGCUCGAGUGGCGAACGGGUGAGUAACACGUGAGUAACCUGCCCUUGACUUUGGGAUAACUUCAGGAAACUGGGGCUAAUACCGGAUAGGAGCUCCUGCUGCAUGGUGUGGGUUGGAGAUUUUUGGCGGUUGGGGAUGGACUCGCGGCUUAUCAGCUUGUUGGUGGGGUAGUGGCUUACCAAGGCGUUGACGGGUAGCCGGCCUGAGAGGGUGACCGGCCACAUUGGGACUGAGAUACGGCCCAGACUCCUACGGGAGGCAGCAGUGGGGAAUAUUGCACAAUGGGCGGAAGCCUGAUGCAGCAACGCCGCGUGCGGGAUGACGGCCUUCGGGUUGUAAACCGCUUUCGCCUGUGACGAAGCGUGAGUGACGGUAAUGGGUGAAGAAGCACCGGCUAACUACGUG
rnacentral:rRNA from 1 species